GGUUUCCGUAGGUGAACCUGCGGAAGGA
rnacentral:ncRNA from 8 species